GACGAACGCUGGCGGCGUGCUUAACACAUGCAAGUCGAACGGAAAGGCCCUGCUUUUGUGGGGUGCUCGAGUGGCGAACGGGUGAGUAACACGUGAGUAACCUGCCCUUGACUUUGGGAUAACUUCAGGAAACUGGGGCUAAUACCGGAUAGGAGCUCCUGCUGCAUGGUGGGGGUUGGAAAGUUUAGGCGGUUGGGGAUGGACGGGCGGCUUAUCAGCUUGUUGGUGGGGGAGUGGCUGACCAAGGCUUUGACGGGUAGCCGGCCUGAGAGGGUGACCGGCGACCUUGGGCCUGAGAUACGGCCCAGUCGCCUACGGGAGGCAGCAGUGGGGAAUAUUGCACAGUGGGCGGACGCCUGAUGCAGCAACGCCGCGUGCGGGAUGACGGCCUUCGGGUUGUAAACCGCUUUCGCCUGUGACGAAGCGUGAGUGACGGUAAUGGGUAAAGAAGCACCGGCUAACUACGUG
rnacentral:rRNA from 1 species